AAUUCUUUUUUCAGUCACAGCUUUCAGUGGGGGGUGAUUCCUUUCUCAGUGUGACCUGAAAUGAUCCCCACAUUCUUAUGUGUAAUGCUUUGUCUGCUAAGAGCAGGAGACGGUGGAAUCACCCAGACACCGAGAUACCAGAUCACACAGACAGCAAGAAAGAUGAUCCUGGCGUGCUCUCAGAAUAUGGACCACUAUUGGAUGUUCUGGUAUCGACAAGAUGCAGGACAGGGCUUGAAACUGAUUUAUUACUCAGGAAGCAUUGACAGCACUACCAAAGGAGAUGUCCCUGAAGGGUACAGUGUCUCCAGAAAGGAGACACAGCGCUUUCCCCUGAUAUUAGAGUCAACCAGCCCCAACCAGACCUCCUUGUACUUCUGUGCCAGCAGUGAACACAGCACCACACACCCAGGUGCUGCCUGCAUAAGAAGGACAACCACGAGAUUGAAAUGGGCCCUCCUUCUUCAGCUCUUGCCCCAUGUAAAAGAAAAGUCUGCACUUCCUGAAGCUCUUCUCAGCAAUAGAAUCUCAGCCAGAGGGACCUUGUGCAGCAUGAGCCGUAGUGUGAGCUGA